AGACUUAAGUUAAAAAAACUAGAAGUCUUCAAAACUUCCAAUAAGCCGACAGGCUUAGUCUCUG
rnacentral:tRNA from 1 species